rnacentral:lncRNA from 10 species
UUAGGAGUUGACUAGCUUUGCUUAUGCUCUCAAGUUGAUCCAUACAGUGCCAGAUUAUACCCUAUCAUAAGAGAUAGGGUCCCCUGAACACAAGAAGUCAUCUCCCCUUCUGGGACUGUGAACUCAAGAAAGCAGGAAGUAUGCCUCCCUUAUUCAUCACUGGGUCCCCAGUGCUUAGAACAGUGCCUGGCACAGAGACGGGGCUCUGUAAAGAUCUGCUGAAUGAACACUUUAUCCUCUUACUUCUUAUCCUUCAAGCCUCAGAUGUUCCCCCAGGAUGCCUUCUUCGUUUCCCCAGACUAGUUCAAGCUGCACCUCCGACGUGCUCCCACAGCCCCUGAGCUGCCUCCCUGCAGACGCCAUACCUGCCGUGGCUGCUUGUUUGCUGAGUAGCCUCUCCCACUGAACCCUGGGCAACUUGAGGUCAGGGACCAUGCUGUUUACUGUUACAGUGAAUUAAAAUGUCUAAAACGG